rnacentral:rRNA from 1 species
UACGAAGGGGGCUAGCGUUGCUCGGAAUCACUGGGCGUAAAGGGCGCGUAGGCGGCCAUUCAAGUCGGGGGUGAAAGCCUGUGGCUCAACCACAGAAUUGCCUUCGAUACUGUUUGGCUUGAGUUUGGCAGAGGUUGGUGGAACUGCGAGUGUAGAGGUGAAAUUCGUAGAUAUUCGCAAGAACACCAGUGGCGAAGGCGGCCAACUGGACCAACACUGACGCUGAGGCGCGAAAGCGUGGGGAGCAAACAGG